rnacentral:piRNA from 1 species
UCAGGAGCAAAAGAGGAAGAGCGCA